rnacentral:rRNA from 1 species
GACGAACGCUGGCGGCGUGCUUAAUACAUGCAAGUGGAGCGACGAACCAGGCUUCGGCCUGGGGCAGAGCCGCGAACGGGUGAGUAACACGUGGGUAACCUGCCUCGAUGACCGGGACAACCCGGGGAACCCGGGCUAAUACCGGAUGUGCUGUCCCCACAUCAGUGGAGACAGGAAAGGAAGCUUCGGCCUCCGCAUCGAGAUGGGCCCGCGGCCCAUUAGCUUGUUGGUGUGGUAACGGCUCACCAAGGCUGCGAUGGGUAGCUGGUCUGAGAGGACGAUUAGCCACACUGGGACUGAGACACGGCCCAGACUCCUACGGGAGGCAGCAGUAGGGAAUCUUGCGCAAUGCGCGAAAGCGUGACGCAGCAACGCCGC